rnacentral:rRNA from 1 species
AGAGUUUGAUCCUGGCUCAGAAUCAACGCUGGCGGCAUGCCUAACACAUGCAAGUCGAACGCGAAAGGGUCCUUCGGGAUCUGAGUAGAGUGGCGUCCGGGUGAGUAACGCGUAGAUCAUCUACCUUCGGGUGGGGAAUAACUCAGGGAAACUUGAGCUAAUACCGCAUAACAUCGAAAGAUCAAAGCAGGGGAUCGCAAGACCUUGCGCCUGAAGAGGAGUCUGCGUCUGAUUAGCUAGUUGGUAAGGUAAUGGCUUACCAAGGCUUCGAUCAGUAGCUGGUCUGAGAGGACGGCCAGCCACAUUGGCACUGAAACACGGGCCAAACUCCUACGGGAGGCAGCAGUGGGGAAUUUUGGGCAAUGGGCGAAAGCCUGACCCAGCAAUGCCGCGUGAACGAUGAAGUCCUUCGGGAUGUAAAGUUCGGAAGUAAGGAACGAAAAGCUAUGGGAUAAUACCCUGUAGUGCUGACGGUACCUUAUCUAAGCCCCGGCUAACUACGUGCCAGCAGCCGCGGUAAUACGUAGGGGGCAAGCGUUGUUCGGAAUUACUGGGCGUAAAGCGCGUGUAGGCGGUCUGGCAAGUCAGAUGUGAAAGCCCCGGGCUCAACUUGGGAACUGCAUUUGAUACUGCCAAGCUAGAGUACAGAAGAGGUGACUGGAAUUCCCAGUAGCGGUGAAAUGCGUAGAUAUUGGGAGGAACACCAGAUGCGAAGGCGGGUCACUGGGCUGAUACUGACGCUAAAGCGCGAAAGCCAGGGGAGCGAACGGGAUUAGAUACCCCUGUAGUCC